UAGGGAAUCUUCCGCAAUGGGCGAAAGCCUGACGGAGCAACGCCGCGUGAGUGAUGAAGGUCUUCGGUUCGUAAAACUCUGUUAUUAGGGAAGAACAAAUGUGUAAGUAACUAUGCACGUCUUGACGGUAUCUAAUCAGAAAGCCACGGCUAACUACGUGCCAGCAGCCGCGGUAAUACGUAGGUGGCAAGCGUUAUCCGGAAUUAUUGGGCGUAAAGCGCGCGUAGGCGGUUUGUUAAGUCUGAUGUGAAAGCCCACGGCUCAACCGUGGGGGGUCAUUGGAAACUGGAAAACUUGAGUGCAGAAGAGGAAAGUGGAAUUCCAUGUGUAGCGGUGAAAUGCGUAGAGAUAUGGAGGAACACCAGUGGCGAAGGCGACUUUCAGGUCUGUAACUGACGCUGAUGUGCGAAAGCGUGGGGAUCAAACAGG
rnacentral:rRNA from 1 species